GCAAAAGAAAGAUAACAAACUUCUAAAGCUCAAUUGGAGAACGAUGAAGAGUGUGCUAAAGCUCAAUUGGAGGAAGAUAGAAAGCGUGCUCAGUUGGAGGAAGAUGAACUACUUGCCAAAGCUCUUCAAGAAAGUUUGAAUGUGGAAUCUCCUAUUGGACAUGGUGGAAACCUACCUUACCCAAUUUUCCCUUCUUCUGGCUUAAGAUGUUUCGGAAUAUGCGCAGGUUGCAACAGUAGGAUUGGUUUGGGGCGAUUCCUGAGUUGCAUGGGUGCUGUUCGGCAUCCAGAACGCUUUCGUUGUCAUGCAUGUGGUCUUCCAAUUACCAAGGCCGAGGCAUAAUCUUGCGUUCAUUAAAAGCUCUUGUCACAAAUCAAUGCUACUGGGAGCAUCAUCAUCCUAGAUGUAAUGUAUG